UGGUCAAUGCCUGAGCAGUUAAUGGGGACGUAAUUUAAAUUCGUUGAUGAUAUGUCUAUGCUGGUUCAAAUCCAGCUCGGACAA
rnacentral:tRNA from 1 species